GGGGCCUUCUAUCUUCCUAAGAGUGUUCUCUGACAGGGCUGUUCCCUGCCCAGUGAAACAAAGGACCAAAGAUUUUCUCAAAAAUGUUUAAAAAUUUGACCCAUGUAACGCGGACACUCCACACUCACGGAAGUGGGCAGAAGGGGGAGGGGGAAAAAAAAGGAAAGAAAAGCUUCUUCAGCCUCAGCGCGGAGCAGCUGCUCUUCCUUACCCAGACGGGACAGUCGUGGACCACCAGCUUGACAUUCCCAAACGCACUGGCCUGAUACUCGGUGAACACCGGACGCGCGACCGUGCUGGCCGCGUUCAGCAACAAGCUGCUCUCGUCCCCGGAGACCAGAGGGCUUCUCCCCAGGUUCAGCCAUUUAGGAAAGAUUGGUGACCUAUCUGCAUGAUGGCAUUAACUACAAGGAUCAUCGAAGAGCCACAGUCACAAAGCCAGUCUCUGAAUAUGGUUCAAAGAAAUCUUAUAACUCUCUGAACAGGACGUGUAUUCGUCAACACUACUUGGAGGGCCGGUACUUCCAAGGAAGUCACCUUUGCAGUCGAUCUAUGUGCACUGUUCUCAGAGCCAGCUCGCACCCAUGAAGAACAACACAACUUACCGGUCAUAGGAGCAGAAAGUGUCAACCUUGCAGCAGGAUUUGGACACUCUGGGAGCCAAACUGGAUGUGGAAGCUCCAAAGGUUUACAAAGUCCUCUUGGAGAAGCAGAUUCCUGUGGGAACCUGGUUAAAUCUCCCAAGCUAGCAGUGUUUUUACUACAAUAAGACAGUGAUUAAUUGUGUCCCACUGGGCACUGUCCUGAUA
rnacentral:lncRNA from 10 species